UACGUAGGGUGCGAGCGUUAAUCGGAAUUACUGGGCGUAAAGCGUGCGCAGGCGGUUUUGUAAGCCAGAUGUGAAAUCCCCGGGCUUAACCUGGGAACUGCAUUUGUGACUGCACGGCUGGAGUGCGGCAGAGGGGGAUGGAAUUCCGCGUGUAGCAGUGAAAUGCGUAGAUAUGCGGAGGAACACCGAUGGCGAAGGCAGCCCCCUGGGUUAACACUGACGCUCAGGCACGAAAGCGUGGGGAGCAAACAGG
rnacentral:rRNA from 1 species